GACGAACGCUGGCGGCGUGCUUAACACAUGCAAGUCGAACGGAAAGGCCCUGCUUUUGUGGGGUGCUCGAGUGGCGAACGGGUGAGUAACACGUGAGUAACCUGCCCUUGACUUUGGGAUAACUUCAGGAAACUGGGGCUAAUACCGGAUAGGAGCUCCUGCUGCAUGGUGGGGGUUGGAAAGUUUCGGCGGUUGGGGAUGGACUCGCGGCUUAUCAGCUUGUUGGUGGGGUAGUGGCUUACCAAGGCUUUGACGGGUAGCCGGCCUGAGAGGGUGACCGGCCACAUUGGGACUGAGAUACGGCCCAGACUCAUACGGGAGGCAGCAGUGGGGAAUAUGGCACAAUGGGCGGAAGCCUGAUGCAGCAACGCCGCGUGCGGGAUGACGGCCUUCGGGUGGUAAACCGCUUUCGCCUGUGACGAAGCGUGAGUGACGGGAAUGGGUAAAGAAACACCGGCGAACUACGG
rnacentral:rRNA from 1 species